GGCCCAGGCGCGUGGGCGCUGCCGAGAGGCUGGGAGCCCGGGAACCGGUUCCUGGACUUGAGCGGAGCGAGAAAGAGCGCGCCGCCUGCACGACUGGACUGGAGCGGCCGGGUGCCCUGGAGGCCCCUGGGAAUUGCAGUCCUUGCGCAGAUGAGAAAACUCAAGACUCAGAAACAAUAAAGGUUACAGAGAUGAAAUUGACAGAGCCUGAAUUUCAGGUUAUGAUUCUGUAUGGUUUCUUUGGUGCUGCAUUAGACCUGAGCUCUGAUUGAAAAUUCUUCCACGCUCGCUACAUUCCAAAACUUUAUCUCCAAUAUGAAUUUCCAGAUGCCUCACAAGGUCUGAGCUCCAUCUGAAGGCUUUCCCAUGCUUGUCACAUUCAUAGGGCUUUUCUCCACUAUGAAUUCUAUGAUGUCGAAUAAAGUGUGAGCUCUGAUUACAAGUCUUUGAACAUUCAUUGCAUUCACAAAGUUUCUUUCCACUGUGAAUUCUUUGAUGCUGAAUAAGUUGUGAGCUCCCCUUCAAAUCUUUCCCACACCC
rnacentral:lncRNA from 10 species